CAGAGCAGGGAACUCUUUGCAUGGGUGGCUUUGCCGGGAUUUGAUGGGAUGUAUUUGUCUGCACAGACUGCCAGGACCUUGUUGCUAAGCAGAGAGUCGCACGUUGGCCAGUCUGUCUCAGGACCAGCUGAAGAAUUGUUCUGAUCCCCCGCCAUGUAGCCCUGCAUGCCCUCUGCAGGCUGGCCUGGCUGCAUUGGAAAUGUGCCACGUUGCUUGCAUAAAACAUCUCCAAAGUUUAUAUAUAGAAAUAAAUCAAGGAGCUGCAAAGCCUGGGCAGACAGUGCAAUGCCUGCAGAGGAAGGAUGGCUCCCAGCAGUGCCCACAGCAGCAGCAGCAGCGCCAGCCCUGGGCUCUUCUUUCCGUGCUGCCUGGGGACUGAGAGAGGGACCAGGCCAGUGGGGUUCCUGGUACAAGAGGAAGCCUCCUGCUGCAGAACAAGUAACAUCUGAUGACAAGUGCUGAAACUGAGGCUCAGAUGUCUGUUGAGGAGCAGAACUGGAGAAAGCAGGUCAGGAUCCAGGAGACGCCUAAUCCAGCCAGACAUCCGGGGCUGGAGGAGCAGGAGGAUGUACUGAACAAAAAGAAGAGCUUGCAGAUGGUCCCUGUAACAGCACCGAGCUGAAUGGCAACCAUGACAGUGUUGUUUUCCCCUUACACGAUCACCAGGGCUGUGCUAAAGCAGGGAGAGACAACGCAGGAGCAGGGAAGAGGAAGAGGGACUCACUCAUUAGGGAUGGCUGAUACUUCUGAGACAGGCUUUUAUGCCUGAACCACUCUGCCAUGCCCUGACAUGAUGGUUUUCUGAAGGCAACAAAACCAACACAGCAGGGUAGGAAACAGCAUGGAGGUGAGCAGGGAGCUAGACAGUGAUGGCAGGACUGUGUUGCUGCAAAACAGGCCAGCAGAGAUGGGAGUUUGGAGUUGGAAUGGCUCCUGGAUGGGGUAUUGGCACUUGCCAGGUGUAAGAGGGAGCCUCUACCCUGGCCAUCAGGCUAAAACAGUGACUUUCCAGGCUGGCCCAAAGGCUGUAGCAAGUGGGUUCAUGUGUUCCAAGUCAGACCUCUCGCCAAUUAAUCAACAGUUUGGAAAACAUUUAUUAGAACCCCCUUGGUGCUUCUGGACACAUCUCCCUGGCACAAAGGAGCACCGUUUGGGCAUGGCCAUUUAUCAUGGCUCCAGGGCUCCAGCCUGCUGGUGCUCAGCAGCCUGUACUGUCCUGGAGGAGAUGCUUGCAGCCUCCAUUCCUUCAUCCCAGCAGAUAUGGCACCACCUCAGGGCUGCUGUGGGGGGACUGGCAGCCACUUUGGAGGGGGAUCUGAGGAAAGACUUGAAGACUAGUGUGUGCCUGGAGUGCUCUGUAUUUGCACCUGCCCAUGUGGAAAGGCUGUUUCUCAGCUGAAAUCCACACUGUGGACCCUUCCUUUAUAUUCCUUUCUCCUUAGUCUUUGCAGAUGAUUUCAAGCAAUGCAGUUUUCCACUUUCUAAUAAGCAAUUUAAUUGCUAAAGGGCAGCUUCUCUGCUGAAGGCAACUGAAGCCAAGGGAGCUGUGACAGUUCAUGCCAGCUGAAGCUUUGCCUUUAAGUAAAUGUUUUAAACUUUCCACUGAGGAGACUAAAAUAAGCCAUAGCAUGAAACAUUAAGAGCAAAGAAUGAACUCUGGAGACCAGAGGGAUUUGGGAAAUGAAAUAAGAUCCAUCUUGCUGGCACAUUUUUUCCCCUUGUCUAUUUUUGGAAUUUAAAAAAUUCCCCCAGAUUUGUCUUUUACAGACCAGCCUUUUGUUCAGCGACCAGCAUUGAGCAGCCUCCGUUUCACAGAGAGCAGGUGAGCUUUGGCAAGCCAACAUGCAAAAUACAGAGCUGGAAACUAUUAAUAUCUUUUACUGCUGGAGAACGGCAGGGCUUGGCGCAGGUGCUAUUUGUUUUCUUUAACUGGCUUUUCAGCUAUGCAACUUGCAACCAAAUACUAGACGAACAAGAAGAUUUCCAGUUAGUGAGCGGGUUGUGAUCAACCCAGAACUCUGUGAUGCCUGCCAUGACCGAGCAGGUUUGACUUGGGGAAUUACACCAUGGAUCUGACCAUGCAGCUGGGCUGGGUGUGUUUAUACGACUGAGUGGGAGGCAGCCUGGUUCUGCUCAUCGGACUCUAGACAGACUCAGGAAACCUGGGCUCUGACUCCUGGCUGUGGUAUUAACUUUUGAGGGGACCUCAGCAUGUCACUUAAGGCCCAAUUCUCCAGUUGGCUUGCAAUCUACUUUUUCCACUGGCUUUAAAUGGAGCAGGGGACCUUUGUUGCCUAUGAAAAUUGAGCCUCCAAACACUUCGGUCUCCCCAUGUUUAAAACAAGGAGGAGAAUAUUUUGAGAUCAAUGGAUAAGAACACCUGGGAGCGCUAAUACCUCUGUACCCUGCCAAGAUACUGGGAGAUUAAGCAAAUAUUUUGAAGGGCUGUAAGAUCUCAUGAGGCAGGUAUGGGGCUGUUUAGUAUAUCCAGGAUAUAUUUUACUCCCUCCUUUUAUUUUUUUCCACAGACGGGAGACUCAGGCAGAGAGAGGGACUAAGACACAUGCCCUUUUUUGUUUUGGUUUCAGCCAUACUGAUUUGCUCUGUGAAAACUAAACUAAGAGCACCUGCAGUACCCCUUACUGGGACUCACUGGAGGGACUUGGAACUGAAGACAAAGAGCACAUCUAAUGGUGCCCUAAGAUUUAGCCUGAAUAUCACCAAAGACAUAGCUGAAAAAGUAAAGAAUUUUGGGAAUGCUUUGUCUGGCUGUGUAGGCUACAACUCCAAACAGGAUGUCAUGAAGUUGAUAAAAGGUUUGGAAGAGAUUUGCCCUGUAGUGGGAGACUCCAUCCACUCAGUUCGGGGUAGCACGUUUUAAGGAAGAUAAUCGACUAACUUGAGUGUGUGCAAAGAGAAUAAAAUGAAUGAUAAAGAGGUUUUGAAAACAUGACCUGUAAGGAAAGGUGGAAGGAAGUGAAUUUGUUUAGUCUAGAAGAGAGAAGAAUGAGGGGAACAUGAUAAUGAUUUUUCAAUAUUUGCAAAAGGGAUAGCAACUCUUCUCCAGAACCAUGGGAAGGGCAAGAAGAAAUCAGCUUAAUUUAUGGCAAGGAAAUUUUAGACAGAACUGUAGGAAAAGCCAAGAGAAAGCUCUGAGAUGGGCUACGUAGAGAAAUGUCCAUCAUGGGAAUUUUUUAAGAACAGACUGUAGCAAUUCAGAUGCAAGCACAGGUACUUCACAAAACAAACAAUGGUGUUUGCAGAUACAAAGAUACUAGACUGUUGAGUAUGGACAGACAGUUGCUUAUACAAAACUGUUCUGAAUGUCACCCAGGGGUGACAGCACUGAAUACCAGUUGAUUCAUUCAAAAUUAAAUAAAUAUAACUGGUGUGGGGGUAACAAACAGCACUUCUGUCUCCAAAAUUGCUUUCAGACCUCAUCUCUAAAGGAUAAUGCAUUUCUUAAAAAGCAAUAAUGACAAAGGAAAUGACAAAGAAAGGUGAUUAUGGUACUGACCUCAACAGCAGAGUGCUACAGCACCUGGAAGGCUUUCAAAGCUGGCAGAUCACAGUAUAAAUAAAGUAUAAAUAAUCUAAUACAUUGUCUGGCUCAGGUAAUGCAGCCUUUAGAGGAUGCACCUUUAUCUCUUCUUCCUCUCACCUUCUGUGCCUGAAGAGUAAAAAUAGCAACUUUAUAUGUAUUUUUACACUCCUAAUCAGUGCUCAAGUCAGUGUUCUUACAGCUCCGUCUCCCUGCAGCACGGGAAAUCGAUCCUGCUGCACCGCAUGACGGAGGAAGUUCAAGGAAGUUCAAGUGUGUCACCUCACGUCCCC